rnacentral:rRNA from 1 species
AUUGAACGCUGGCGGCAGGCCUAACACAUGCAAGUCGAACGAGUGGCGGACGGGUGAGUAAUGUCUGGGAAACUGCCCGAUGGAGGGGGAUAACUACUGGAAAAGGUAGCUAAUACCGCAUACCAUCGGAUGUGCCCAGAUGGGAUGAGCUAGUAGGUGGGGUAACGGCGCACCUAGGCGACGAUCCCUAGCUGGUCUGAGAGUAUGACCAGCCACACUGGGACUGAGACACGGUCCAGACUCCUACGGGAGGCAGCAGUGGGGAAUAUUGCACAAUGGGCGCAAGCCUGAUGCAGCCAUGCCGCGUGUAUGAAGAAGGCCUUAGGGUUGUAAAGUACUUUCAGUGAGGAGGCGUUACUCACAGAAGAAGCACCGGCUAACUCCGUGCCAGCAGCCGCGGUAAUUC